ensembl:lncRNA
GGCCAUUUUACCACUCAUCAUAUUGGUGUCACCUCGGAGCCCACCGCAGGGCGUUAGCACUUGCUGGGCAGUGGAAGCCCGGGGACGAGCCUGGGGACAGAGGGAAUCUGCAGUCACCCCUCUGUCAGUGGAGGUCGCGGACGAGCGACGGAUAUAGCCUCCGGGAUCACGCCGGAGAAGAGCCUGGGAUCCUGGUCUCAAUUGGGAGGAGGAUUGGAGGCGACAUGGAAGCCGUCAUAAAGCUGAUCGCUCACGCGUGUAAGACCUAUCACGGGAAGCAUGCUCCUUCUCAGAAGGAGAUAGCUGCGGUCCUCUCGUUGCUUGAGAGGGAGGGGCUGUUAACAUCGCCCCACGAUAUUUGUGACCACAAUAAUUGGGAUUCGAUUACCGCUGCCUUAUCCCAACGAGCAAUGGUCACUCAGAAAACAGCGGAGUUAAAAACCUGGGGUCUGAUACUGGGGGCGUUGAAAGCGGCCAGAGUUGAGGGAAAGGAAUUGGCAGAGGCUCUAUACCUUUUGGGUCUCGGCGGUGGAGGCGAGACACCGGACCCGGUGGGGUCUGAUGGGGGCUCGGGAGCAGUUUCUUGCAGGGGCCAAGAGGAGACGGAGCCGCCAACGACCAUUGGCGAGAUGGCGCCGGCUGAGCCGACCGCGCUCAGUUCAAAAGAAGACAAACAACAAGAGAGUGAAUGUUUGUUGUCUCGUCCCCCUCCCCCGUAUCCGGACCCCUCAGGCGGAACGUUGUAUCCUUUAUCAGAAUUACGUCAGUGUUACCUGACUCAAGGGGGCGGAGGAAGCUGUGAUCUACAUGGGCAGGAUCAACUUAGUGCCCACAUGGGGAGGGACCAGACAAAAGGUCCGUCCAAUGCGGACAGGGGGCAUAGCCUACCGUCUCUGGUCUCUCCCAGGAGUGAUAGUGAGGAGGAGAAAGAAGGGACUGGCUUUGAGUGCAGGGGGAAGGAUCAAAUGACGGACUGGAAUUGGAUUAGAUCGGAGGCUUUGGGGAAGGGUAUAGUUCCAGAGGCAUUCCGGGUGAUUGUGAGUGAUCAUGGUCCCGAAUGGGUGCCGCCUGACCCCGGGGGUGUUACGCGCCUGGUGGAAUUUAUGGAUAAAAGAG